rnacentral:rRNA from 1 species
GUACACACCGCCCGUCACACCAUGGGAGUCGGUAACACCCGAAGCCUGUAGUCUAACCGCAAGGAGGACGCAGUCGAAGGUGGGAUUGAUGACUGGGGUGAAGUCGUAACAAGGUACC